GGCAGUUUGGUAUAGUGGUAUUUGUGAUUUUGAUAGGUCGCAGGUUCGAACCCGGCCAGCGGCCU